CCUACGGGGUGCUGCCGUGAGGAAUAUUGGUCAAUGGACGAGAGUCUGAACCAGCCAAGUAGCGUGAAGGAUGACUGCCCUAUGGGUUGUAAACUUCUUUUAUAUGGGAAUAAAAUGUUCCACGUGUGGGAUUUUGUAUGUACCAUAUGAAUAAGGAUCGGCUAACUCCGUGCCAGCAGCCGCGGUAAUACGGAGGAUCCGAGCGUUAUCCGGAUUUAUUGGGUUUAAAGGGAGCGUAGGUGGAUUGUUAAGUCAGUUGUGAAAGUUUGCGGCUCAACCGUAAAAUUGCAGUUGAAACUGGCAGUCUUGAGUACAGUAGAGGUGGGCGGAAUUCGUGGUGUAGCGGUGAAAUGCUUAGAUAUCACGAAGAACUCCGAUUGCGAAGGCAGUUCACUGGACUGCAACUGACACUGAGGCUCGAAAGUGUGGGUAUCAAACAGGAUUAGAUACCCCUGUAGUC
rnacentral:rRNA from 1 species